rnacentral:lncRNA from 1 species
UGGGUUGUGGUUUAAAACUCGUGGGUUGACUUUGAUGGUGAUUGUGUACAUAUUUAAGAUUCUUACAACUUAGAGUUUCACAAGGAAGGUAGGGUCGCUUUUAGGAUUGUUUGGGGUUCAUUUGGAAAGUCAUUUAUUUCUGAAUAUUUUUUUGUGCCUCUUCCGAAAAUUACCAAUUAAGUUUACUAGGAUUUACAUUUCUUUAUUCAUUUAAACCGAUUCCUCAUCCAAAAUUUGUUUCCACAAGCAAACAGUAAUGCAUGACACUGAGAAAUCA